rnacentral:lncRNA from 1 species
CGGCUCAUGGCGAACCUGCAGCGGCGGGUCCACGCCCUGGCUGUCCCGUUCCCGGCGUCGGGACACAUGCUGCCCCUCCUCGACCUCGCCCACCUCCUUUCCGCUCGCUACGGCUUCGCCGUCACCAUCGUCGUCACCCCAAAGAACCUUCCCCACCUCUCCCCGCUCCUCGCUCGCUGCCCCACCGUCGCCCCCCUCGUUCUCCCCUUCCCCGACAACACCAACCUUCCCCCCGGGGUGGAGAACGCUGGGCCGCUUUACGACGUCCGCCUCCUGAUGCGCGAGCUGAGCGGCCUCCACGACCCGCUCCUCCGCUGGGCCCGCUCCUGGACUGAUCCCCCCACCGCGGUCCUCGCUGACUUCUUCUGCGGCUG